rnacentral:piRNA from 1 species
UAAUGAUGAUGAGAGGUUAAGUGUGC